rnacentral:other from 1 species
CGGAGUCUGCGGUGUUCGUGAUGUAAAACUUUUGCUGCCUGAUAUUUUCUUUACAGGAGUUUGUCCCUGAAAGGGGUGUGCAUGUCUGCCAGUGGGCAGGAAGCCUAAACCUUUUACCACAUUACUCCACCUUGUUGGGCCAAGGUAACAAAAGCCUCAUUUUACACACGGCAUUGCGGACUUCUU